GCUACUGAGCCAUGGCUCAGUUGGUUAGAGCAUGGUGCUGAUAACACCAAGGUUUGAUUCCUGUAUGGGACAGCUGCA